AAAACACCGUCUCUCUCUCUUCUAUUUCUCUCAAUCCUUCUCCGACGUCAUCGAUCUUCUCCGACCAUCGUCUACCUUCGCUGGAGUUUUGAGGUUGAAGAACAUAGGAUUGGAAGGAGACAGGUAAUGGUUAAUUAGUUUAAUUUCAUUCAAUUGAUGGUCGAUUGAUUCAUAUGGUAUGUGAAAUAAAUGGGCUGAGUUUGUUUAUUUUAUGUGAAUUAAAUGGGUUCAUAUGAUUUGGUGAUGGGUUGAUGUGUUCUGUUGUUCUCUGGUUUCUUUGUCUUCGGGUUCUCUGGUUUCUUUGUCUUCGGGUUGGUUUCUCUUUUUUAGUUGUAUGAAUGCUGUUAACGAAAUUGCUACAGAUGAUUUCCUUUUAGUGAAUUACCAAAAAAGUACUUCUUUGUUAUGA